AACGAACGCUGGCGGCAUGCCUAACACAUGCAAGUCGAACGAGACCUUCGGGUCUAGUGGCGCACGGGUGCGUAACGCGUGGGAACCUGCCCUUAGGUUCGGAAUAACUCCCCGAAAGGGGUGCUAAUACCGGAUAAUGUCUUCGGACCAAAGAUUUAUCGCCUUUGGAUGGGCCCGCGUUGGAUUAGCUAGUUGGUAGGGUAAAAGCCUACCAAGGCGACGAUCCAUAGCUGGUCUGAGAGGAUGAUCAGCCACACUGGGACUGAGACACGGCCCAGACCUCACGGGGGGGCAGGGGGGGGGAAAUUUGGAAAAGGGGGAAAAGGCUGAACCAACAAUGGCCGGGUGGUGAGUAAGGCCGUAGGGUUUGAAAAUCUUUUUUCCCCGGGUGAAAAAUGAAAGUCCGGGGAAAAAAGCCUCCCACUACCCCCGGC
rnacentral:rRNA from 1 species